rnacentral:rRNA from 1 species
CCCGAGAAAUCCCGUGUGAAUCUGGCGGGACCACCCGCUAAGCCUAAAUAUUCCCUGGUGACCGAUAGCGGAUAGUACCGUGAGGGAAUGGUGAAAAGUACCCCGGGAGGGGAGUGAAAUAGUACCUGAAACCGUGUGCCUACAAGCCGUGGGAGCGUCGGAAACACUUCGGUGUUUCUCGUGACUGCGUGCCUUUUGAAGAAUGAGCCUGCGAGUUUGCGGUGUGUUGCGAGGUUAACCCGUGUGGGGAAGCCGUAGCGAAAGCGAGUCCGAACAGGGCGUUUUUAGUAGCACGCUCAAGACCCGAAGCGGAGUGAUCUAGCCAUGGGCAGGUUGAAGCGGAGGUAAGACUUCGUGGAGGACCGAACCCACCAGGGUUGAAAACCUGGGGGAUGACCUGUGGUUAGGGGUGAAAGGCCAAUCAAACUCCGUGAUAGCUGGUUCUCCCCGAAAUGCAUUUAGGUGCAGCGUCGUGUGUUUCUUGCCGGAGGUAGAGCACUGGAUAGGCGAUGGGCCCUACCGGGUUACUGACCUUAGCCAAACUCCGAAUGCCGGUAAGUGAGAGCGCGGCAGUGAGACUGUGGGGGAUAAGCUCCAUGGUCGAGAGGGAAACAGCCCAGAGCAUCGACUAAGGCCCCUAAGCGUACGCUAAGUGGGAAAGGAUGUGGAGUCGCACAGACAACCAGGAGGUUGGCUUAGAAGCAGCCACCCUUGAAAGAGUGCGUAAUAGCUCACUGGUCUAGUGAUUCCGCGCCGACAAUGUAGCGGGGCUCAAGCGUACCGCCGAAGUCGUGUCAUUGCAGCAAUAGCCCCAACGGGUGCUGUGAUGGGUAGGGGAGCGUCGUCUGCCGGGUGAAGCAGCACCGGAAGGUAGUUGUGGACGGUUGACGAGUGAGAAUGCAGGCAUGAGUAGCGAUACACACGUGAGAAACGUGUGCGCCGAUUGACUAAGGGUUCCUGGGUCAAGCUGAUCUGCCCAGGGUAAGUCGGGACCUAAGGCGAGGCCGACAGGCGUAGUCGAUGGAUAACCGGUUGAUAUUCCGGUACCCGCUGUGAAGCGUCAAACAUCGAGCAUCGUGAUGCUAAGGCCGUGAAGCCGCCCUGAUCUCUUCGGAGUUGAGGGGAGUGGUGGAGCCGCUGAACCAAGCGGUUAGUAGGUGAGUGAUGGGGUGACGCAGGAAGGUAGUCCAUCCCGGGCGGUGGUUGUCCCGGGGUAAGGGUGUAGGACGGUGUGUAGGUAAAUCCGCACGCUAUUAAGUCUGAGACCUGAUGCCGAGCCGAUUGUGGUGAAGUGGAUGAUCCUAUGCUGUCGAGAAAAGCCUCUAGCGAGUUUCAUGGCGGCCCGUACCCUAAACCGACUCAGGUGGUCAGGUAGAGAAUACCGAGGCGUUCGGGUGAACUAUGGUUAAGGAACUCGGCAAAAUGCCCCCGUAACUUCGGGAGAAGGGGGGCCACACUCGGUGAUGGGAUUUACUCCUUGAGCUGGGGGUGGCCGCAGAGACCAGCGAGAAGCGACUGUUUACUAAAAACACAGGUCCGUGCGAAGCCGUAAGGCGAUGUAUACGGACUGACGCCUGCCCGGUGCUGGAACGUUAAGGGGACCGGUUAGCUCCAUUUCGGUGGGGCGAAGCUGAGAACUUAAGCGCCAGUAAACGGCGGUGGUAACUAUAACCAUCCUAAGGUAGCGAAAUUCCUUGUCGGGUAAGUUCCGACCUGCACGAAUGGCGUAACGACUUCUCGACUGUCUCAACCAUAGGCCCGGUGAAAUUGCACUACGAGUAAAGAUGCUCGUUUCGCGCAGCAGGACGGAAAGACCCCGGGACCUUUACUACAGUUUGAUAUUGGUGUUCGGUUCGGCUUGUGUAGGAUAGCUGGGAGACUUUGAAGCUCAUACGCCAGUGUGGGUGGAGUCGUCGUUGAAAUACCAGUCUGGUCGUGCUGGAUGUCUAACCUGGGUCCGUGAUCCGGAUCAGGGACAGUGUCUGAUGGGUAGUUUAACUGGGGCGGUUGCCUCCUAAAGGGUAACGGAGGCGCCCAAAGGUUCCCUCAGCCUGGUUGGUAAUCAGGUGUUGAGUGUAAGUGCACAAGGGAGCUUGACUGUGAGACCGACGGGUCGAGCAGGGACG